UACGAAGGGGGCUAGCGUUGCUCGGAAUCACUGGGCGUAAAGCGCACGUAGGCGGAUUCUUAAGUCAGGGGUGAAAUCCUGGAGCUCAACUCCAGAACUGCCUUUGAUACUGAGGGUCUUGAGUUCGGGAGAGGUGAGUGGAACUGCGAGUGUAGAGGUGAAAUUCGUAGAUAUUCGCAAGAACACCAGUGGCGAAGGCGGCUCACUGGCCCGAUACUGACGCUGAGGUGCGAAAGCGUGGGGAGCCAAACAGG
rnacentral:rRNA from 1 species